GCUGACACAUCCCUGCCAAUCUCUGGCAGACCCUCCCUCCCAGACCCUUCCACCUCCUGGACAGCAUCCAUGUUGAAGCUGCCUUCAACAUGGAUGCUGUCCAGGAAGUAGGAGGGUCUGGGAGGGAGGGUCUGCCGGAGAUUGUCAGGGAUGUGUCAG